AAGAGGGGAAUGAAGAUGACGACAAAGAAAUGAGGGGUACGAGGACGCAGUGCAACGGAAAUGAUGAGGGUAAAUCGGGAAAUUCAUCAUGGAUUUUCGAAGUGGGUCCCGCUUUGGAUCAAAUCACGGGAACACUGAAAAUCAGUGGGUGCGUAUUCAUCUGUAACUCUGGUUUGGUUUCCCAUGUGAAUCGACCUUUUUACCCUUUUCUGAUUUCUGCACCCCACCACCACCUGCCACAUCGCCACCACGUUCUCUUUUAUCUAUUUCUUAUAUUAUUAGUUUCGGACACUAUUUAAUUUAAAAAAUAUUUGUUGUAUUUUAACAUAAUUUUAAAAUAAAAAAUACUAAUUUUUUAAAAUAUAAUUUUUAUUAUGAUUAAAAAAUAAAUAGUAGAUUUUAUUGUCAUUUUAUGUACUAGACGAUUCAGUGAGUGAGUCAGCACUCGAUCUAUGCUGUCACCUAAACAAUAAAGAGGCGACUGCAUUGUACACGUGAUCGACCAAUCCAUAACGUUUAUAUUAAAAGUUGUUCAGAUCAGCAAGGUUAAUCUAUGGUCAAGGGUGGUUUAACACAACCCUAAACCCAAACAAACUUCCUUAACCUGACCCAACAGUAAAAGUCCAUUAAGGUAAUAUAACUAACAUGCAUUUUAAGGACAAAUGUACAUCAUUAUCUAUAGUACUCUGACAAUCGAGUGUCGACACUCCGACUGACUUGAGCGUUUGAGUGUCUUCUGCAGGUACUAUCCUCGCCUGAAGAGCAGAACGGCUGAGAAGAAGGAAGCAUAACAGGGAGCACGAAUGCAUUAAGGAGUUCCAAGAGUACCAGACUGAUCAGACGCAACAGUAGGAGCAAUUGUUC
rnacentral:lncRNA from 1 species